rnacentral:rRNA from 1 species
CAGUCGCCGCGGUAAUACGAAGGGGGCUAGCGUUGCUCGGAAUCACUGGGCGUAAAGGGCGCGUAGGCGGCGAUCAAAGUCAGGCGUGAAAUUCCUGGGCUCAACCUGGGGGCUGCGUUUGAUACUUGAUUGCUAGAGUGGGGAAGAGGGUCGUGGAAUUCCCAGUGUAGAGGUGAAAUUCGUAGAUAUUGGGAAGAACACCGGUGGCGAAGGCGGCGACCUGGUCCUUGACUGACGCUGAGGCGCGAAAGCGUGGGGAGCAAACAGGAUUAGAUACCCGCGUAGUCCCUGUCUCUUAUAC